AGUGAACGCUGGCGGUAGGCCUAACACAUGCAAGUCGAACGGCAGCACAGUAAGAUCUUGCUCUUACGGGUGGCGAGUGGCGGACGGGUGACGAAUACAUCGGAAUCUACUUUUUCGUGGGUGAUAACGUAGGGAAACUUACGCUAAUACCUCAUAUGACCUACGGGUUAAAGCAGUGGAUCUUCGGACCUUGCGCGAUUGAUUGAGCCGAUGUCGGAUUAGCUAGUUGGCGGGGUAAAGGCCCACCAAGGCGACGAUCCGUAGCUGGUCUGAGAGGAUGAUCAGCCACACUGGAACUGAGACACGGUCCAGACUCCUACGGGAGGCAGCAGUGGGGAAUAUUGGACAAUGGGCGCAAGCCUGAUCCAGCAAUACCGCGUGGGUGAAGAAGGCCUUCGGGUUGUAAAGCCCUUUUGUUGGGAAAGAAAAGAAGCAGGUUAAUACCCGGCUGUUCUGACGGUACCCAAAGAAUAAGCAACGGCUAACUUCGUG
rnacentral:rRNA from 1 species